AUGCGGUGCCCACUGAUAUGCAACUGGGCUGUUGAGUUUCAUUUGCCACAUCGCGUGUCUCGUCAGUUUGGUCUGUUCCAGCCUCACCCGCCGGAAUGGGUGGAUACGGACAAAGCACUUCAUAGGUUGGACAGGAGAAGGCAGCGGAAGAUAAAGGACUGGGACAAGCAUCAUGCUUCGUAUGUUACCCGCUUCCAGCUUUGUGUGGAGGAAGCUCGUAGCAGUGCACGCGCCAAGCUUCGUGAGCAUAGUCAAGUUGCUUUUGAUAACUAG
rnacentral:rRNA from 1 species